rnacentral:rRNA from 2 species
UUAAGCGACUAAGCGUACACGGUGGAUGCCCUGGCAGUCAGAGGCGAUGAAGGACGUGCUAAUCUGCGAAAAGCGACGGCGAGGUGAUAUGAACCCUUGACCCGUCGAUGUCCGAAUGGGGAAACCCAGUGUGUUUCGACACACUAUCGUUAACUGAAUACAUAGGUUAACGAGGCGAACCGGGGGAACUGAAACAUCUAAGUACCCCGAGGAAAAGAAAUCAACCGAGAUUCCCCCAGUAGCGGCGAGCGAACGGGGAGCAGCCCGGAGUCUGAAUCAGCUUGUGUGUUAGUGGAACGGUCUGGAAAGUCCGACGGUACAGGGUGAUAGUCCCGUACACGAAAAUGCACAUGCUGUGAACUCGAAGAGUAGGGCGGGACACGUGGUAUCCUGUCUGAAUAUGGGGGGACCAUCCUCCAAGGCUAAAUACUCCUGACUGACCGAUAGUGAACCAGUACCGUGAGGGAAAGGCGAAAAGAACCCCGGCGAGGGGAGUGAAAAAGAACCUGAAACCGUGUACGUACAAGCAGUGGGAGCACCUUCAUGGGGUGACUGCGUACCUUUUGUAUAAUGGGUCAGCGACUUAUAUUCUGUAGCAAGGUUAACCGUAUAGGGGAGCCGAAGGGAAACCGAGUCUUAACUGGGCGUUAAGUUGCAGGGUAUAGACCCGAAACCCGGUGAUCUAGCCAUGGGCAGGUUGAAGGUUGGGUAACACUAACUGGAGGACCGAACCGACUAAUGUUGAAAAAUUAGCGGAUGACCUGUGGCUGGGGGUGAAAGGCCAAUCAAACCGGGAGAUAGCUGGUUCUCCCCGAAAGCUAUUUAGGUAGCGCCUCGUGAACUCAUCUUCGGGGGUAGAGCACUGUUUCGGCUAGGGGGCCAUCCCGGCUUACCAACCCGAUGCAAACUACGAAUACCGAAGAAUGUUAUCACGGGAGACACACGGCGGGUGCUAACGUCCGUCGUGAAGAGGGAAACAACCCAGACCGCCAGCUAAGGUCCCAAAGUCAUGGUUAAGUGGGAAACGAUGUGGGAAGGCACAGACAGCCAGGAUGUUGGCUUAGAAGCAGCCAUCAUUUAAAGAAAGCGUAAUAGCUCACUGGUCGAGUCGGCCUGCGCGGAAGAUGUAACGGGGCUAAACCAUGCACCGAAGCUGCGGCAGCGACACUAUGUGUUGUUGGGUAGGGGAGCGUUCUGUAAGCCGUUGAAGGUGUGCUGUGAGGCAUGCUGGAGGUAUCAGAAGUGCGAAUGCUGACAUAAGUAACGAUAAAGCGGGUGAAAAGCCCGCUCGCCGGAAGACCAAGGGUUCCUGUCCAACGUUAAUCGGGGCAGGGUGAGUCGACCCCUAAGGCGAGGCCGAAAGGCGUAGUCGAUGGGAAACAGGUUAAUAUUCCUGUACUUGGUGUUACUGCGAAGGGGGGACGGAGAAGGCUAUGUCAGCCGGGCGACGGUUGUCCCGGUUUAAGCAUGUAGGCGGAGGUUCCAGGUAAAUCCGGUACCUUGUUAACGCUGAGGUGUGAUGACGAGGCACUACGGUGCUGAAGUGAUAAAUGCCCUGCUUCCAGGAAAAGCCUCUAAGCAUCAGGUAACACGAAAUCGUACCCCAAACCGACACAGGUGGUCAGGUAGAGAAUACCAAGGCGCUUGAGAGAACUCGGGUGAAGGAACUAGGCAAAAUGGUGCCGUAACUUCGGGAGAAGGCACGCUGAUAUGUAGGUGAAGCCCCUGCGGGCGGAGCUGAAAUCAGUCGAAGAUACCAGCUGGCUGCAACUGUUUAUUAAAAACACAGCACUGUGCAAACACGAAAGUGGACGUAUACGGUGUGACGCCUGCCCGGUGCCGGAAGGUUAAUUGAUGGGGUUAGCGGCAACGCGAAGCUCUUGAUCGAAGCCCCGGUAAACGGCGGCCGUAACUAUAACGGUCCUAAGGUAGCGAAAUUCCUUGUCGGGUAAGUUCCGACCUGCACGAAUGGCGUAAUGAUGGCCAGGCUGUCUCCACCCGAGACUCAGUGAAAUUGAACUCGCUGUGAAGAUGCAGUGUACCCGCGGCAAGACGGAAAGACCCCGUGAACCUUUACUAUAGCUUGACACUGAACACUGGUCCUUGAUGUGUAGGAUAGGUGGGAGGCUUUGAAGCGUGGACGCCAGUCUGCGUGGAGCCGCCCUUGAAAUACCACCCUUUAAUGGCUGGUGUUCUAACGUAGACCCGUGAUCCGGGUUGCGGACAGUGUCUGGUGGGUAGUUUGACUGGGGCGGUCUCCUCCCAAAGAGUAACGGAGGAGCACGAAGGUUGGCUAAUCCUGGUCGGACAUCAGGAGGUUAGUGCAAUGGCAUAAGCCAGCUUGACUGCGAGCGUGACGGCGCGAGCAGGUGCGAAAGCAGGUCAUAGUGAUCCGGUGGUUCUGAAUGGAAGGGCCAUCGCUCAACGGAUAAAAGGUACUCCGGGGAUAACAGGCUGAUACCGCCCAAGAGUUCAUAUCGACGGCGGUGUUUGGCACCUCGAUGUCGGCUCAUCACAUCCUGGGGCUGAAGUAGGUCCCAAGGGUAUGGCUGUUCGCCAUUUAAAGUGGUACGCGAGCUGGGUUUAGAACGUCGUGAGACAGUUCGGUCCCUAUCUGCCGUGGGCGCUGGAGAAUUGAGGGGGGCUGCUCCUAGUACGAGAGGACCGGAGUGGACGCAUCACUGGUGUUCGGGUUGUCAUGCCAAUGGCACUGCCCGGUAGCUAAAUGCGGAAGAGAUAAGUGCUGAAAGCAUCUAAGCACGAAACUUGCCCCGAGAUGAGUUCUCCCUGAGACCUUGAGUCUCCUGAAGGAACGUUGAAGACGACGACGUUGAUAGGUCGGGUGUGUAAGCGCAGCGAUGCGUUGAGCUAACCGAUACUAAUGAACCGUGAGGCUUAACCUU